rnacentral:rRNA from 1 species
UAGGGAAUAUUGGGCAAUGGAGGGAACUCUGACCCAGCCAUGCCGCGUGCAGGAUGAAGGCGUUAUGCGUUGUAAACUGCUUUUAUAUAGGAAGAAAUAGUCCUUGCGAGGAAAGUUGACGGUACUAUAUGAAUAAGCACCGGCUAACUCCGUGCCAGCAGCCGCGGUAAUACGGAGGGUGCAAGCGUUGUCCGGAUUUAUUGGGUUUAAAGGGUGCGUAGGCGGUUUAUUAAGUCAGUGGUGAAAGACGGUCGCUCAACGAUUGCUGUGCCAUUGAUACUGGUAGACUUGAGUAUGAUUGAGGUAGCUGGAAUGGAUAGUGUAGCGGUGAAAUGCAUAGAUAUUAUCCAGAACACCAAUUGCGUAGGCAAGUUACUAAGUCAUAACUGACGCUGAGGCACGAAAGUGUGGGUAUCAAACAGGAUUAGAUACCCAAGUAGUCCCUGAGCGGGCUGGCAAGGCGCAU